GGGUUGGAAGUUUGUAUGAAAGUCCCAUGUUUUUGAAGUAAGAGACUUGAAAUUUAAAAUGUAUGCUCUAUAGAUGGUAAAAAGGUGACCAAAUAAUGUAUCUUUAGAAAUCAACUCUCUUUUGGAGUUAAAACGGGGAAUGGUAGGUUUACUCACUCAUCACGAAACCUCCGAAACUAUAACAGCUACAAACCUGUAGUUUUGCAGGUAGGUUCCUUAUAGGGCGGUGCAACCCCUUAAAACGGGGGUUGGAAGUUU
rnacentral:misc_RNA from 1 species